UGAGAUUAAUCUACAGGAGGAGGAGAAGAAUCAUCCACACCACUCUUCGCCACCCGGCUGGGAGCAAUUCCAGAAGGCAGGGUCUGCUUGGGCAGUUGAGAGGCCUUGGGUCAUGCCGCUUAUUGAAACCAUCAGCAGGAGGAGUUUGGAUAAAGCUGAAGUUCCACUUAGGCGCUCGGUGAUCCAUCUGGGAAGACAGUGGCCACAGCCCAACAGGAGGCCGGGGAACCUGGACCCCACCAGCCAAGGCUCUGAAUUCAGAAGAGGCACCAUGGGCCUCGCUGGACCCUGGGAGCCGCAGAGGAGGGAAGCCUGCCUUCAGUUUCAAAGCCUUCUUUCUUGCCUUCUCUUCCUAUGACCUCAAGGCAGCACUUCUUUGUGGUUCCUAGAAAAGACACACCUUUCAUUAACAUUGCUUUUCCAGCUCCCAUUCCA
rnacentral:lncRNA from 1 species